UACGUAGGGGGCAAGCGUUGUCCGGAUUUAUUGGGCGUAAAGAGCGUGUAGGCGGCUUUACAGGUCCGUUGUGAAAACUGGAGGCUCAACCUCCAGACGUCGAUGGAAACCGUCUGGCUAGAGUCCGGAAGAGGAGAGUGGAAUUCCUGGUGUAGCGGUGAAAUGCGCAGAUAUCAGGAAGAACACCCGUGGCGAAAGCGGCUCUCUGGGACGGUACUGACGCUGAGACGCGAAAGCGUGGGGAGCGAACAGG
rnacentral:rRNA from 1 species